AUUUUAGUUCCAGACACUCGACGGCAAAACACCGCUGUUCGGGAGUUUUAAAAUGGCCGCCGCCACGUGUUCGUUUGUCGAAUGGCGGCCACCCCCGAGAACAAAGGACGGCUACUUACUGUUCAAUUACCCGUUCGCAACAAUGUUGCAACGGGUAAUUGAGGACACGCUUCACACAGGGGAGGUCUGGUUGUUCGGUAGUUUCAUUCGAAUAAACUAAGGGAACGAAACUACCGAACAAUCACAAGAAUACAAG
rnacentral:lncRNA from 1 species